UGCUGUGAGGAUCAGCUGAGUUCCAGCCCUGCAGAAAUCAGUUCAGGUAUUUCCUCUGGUGGUGAGACCCAGGUUCCCAUCCUGUGCCAGUGUCUGCAGUGGUCCAGGGACCAGGUUACACAGGACCAGCUGCAUCAGAUGUUUUUGUCUUAGCAAAAAUAUUCCUGUAAACUAGAUACCACAUCUGUUUCUGCCUCUUUCACAGUUCUGUGUUCAAAUGCAAAAUCACAGUUCCCACCAGUGCAGCCUGUUCUGGCUCCUGUUGCCUGAGAUGGCUCAGCUGCACCUUUGAUCUGAACAAGGAUGUGAGCUCACAGGCAUCCCCUGCCCGUGUUUCACCCCUCUCUUUCAGAGGAGUGGUUGUCAUGCUGGUGUUGGUGUUUGCUCCAGCAGCUGUGAAUGUGCUCCUGUAUUUGCUGUCCUUGUGUAGGUUUUACUUGCUAGCUUUGUUCCCUCAAUUUCCUGCAGUGCAGCAUUGGGUUGGAUUGCAAGAAGGGGAUUUAGAGGGAGCCAAGUAUUUUUUUGUGCUUUAAAGUCUGUCUAGUGCUUUCUUUUAACUGACCAAGAUCUGCAGCACUUUGGAGUAUUUACUGCUCCUAUUUAAUGGGCUGUUUACAAUUUCAGGACCAGCCUCAGUAGCCUUGUGGAGAAUAUUUCCAUGCUGAUGACAUGUUUACAGUGAAUAAUAAGAACUGACACAUUUUGUGUGCACAGGUUAAUGCCCCCAAAUCAGGUACUGUAAAUUGUUGUGGGUGGGCAGCUGGUACAAGAACCUGUUUUGCUUUUAUAGAGCAUCACAGCAAGAUCUGGAAAACACAUUAGUUAAUUUCUUGCUUCCUCUGCUCAUUGCAGGCAAAGUGCAAGGUCUCCUUUUUCCUCCCCUCUCCUGUCUCAUGUGCAUGGACUGGGGGAAGAGGCAGGGCUAGAGCUACCCUGAAGGGAUGCUCUUUGGGGAGAUGGUGCCCAGAACAGCCUUGGUGCUUUGAGGAUCACAGGGGUGUCAGCAGCGUGGCUCAGGAGGCUCUGAGGCUGGUGGGGUGCAGCAGCCACCCCCCGAUCCCCUGUCCGUGUGUCCCCUUCCCUCCCAGCCCCGCAGAGCUUUCACUGCCCUGGGGCUCGGCAGAGCAGGCAGCAGGAGUGCUCUCCCUGAAACAAAGUGUCUCAAGUUCUGGCAUUUAAAACCGUGUUUCAAUUUGGGAAAUCUCAAGUAGCCUUUUGCUUUUAAGGUACAUUAAGUCUGUUAUGUCACAGGUGUAAAAGUAACUCAAUAUUCAGAUCAGGAAGGGAAUGAGACCUCUGGGCAGUGUUAUUGGUGGGGUGGGAUUACAUAAAGGAAAAGUGGCUUAUUGCUUAUUUCCAUCUGCCCACAGCAGACCUUUCCAGGUGCAAUGUGUUUCAUGUGGUGCUUCUGGAAAUGCUUCAAAACUGCAGUCUCCUAGGCUUUGGGUCUGAAUAUAUUUCUUUUAGAGAAAGCCACAUAUCUGCAAAUAGGAAGAAAAGGAGAAACUUCUAGAUGAGAGCAGCCUGUUCCUCUCUGCAUCAAAUCUGAGUUAUAACUGGUUCUUUUGGAUUAUAAAUGCUACCUUCAGCAUUCACUUGGAACAAUUUUAAUUCUGGUGACAAGCAAUGAGCUAAUAAGCCCCAAUGUCAAGAAAUCCUUUGUUUUGUUACUGAAGAACUGCAUUACAGCCAGCUCAAGAGCAGACUUUCCUUCAUGGAAAGGAAACUCAGGGUGCAGGAGGGUUUGCUGCUCACUGCACUUGCCUCACCACUGAGACAGUCAGUAGUGUUAACUUGAAGUGAAGGCACAACAACAAAACUCAUUUCACAUAGGCCAUUGAACAUUAGACAUUACAAAAAUCUUCUGUCCCUACUUCCAGAUGGAACCUGAACCAGUGACCUGGAGGUGAAAUGCUCUCCUGCAGUCCUCUGGAGCCUGCAGUGUUUCUGUGCAUCCCACAGAGCACUUUUUCUGCAUCAAAAAGCAAAUUAAUCUGUCACUGAGACUAAUCCUACUUGUCUCAAGCGUAAACACAAUUUUUAAAUGUAGAGGGGCUAUUUGAGAUAAUUUUUUACAUUCUGAGUCAGAAUAUCAGAAAAAAUGUUUGCAUCUAUUUUGUUAAGGUUUUUUUCUCUGAAAGUUGAGUGACUACUUUUGACCUAGGUGGUUUUUAUAUGAGGAAAAAAGGUGGACAACAUUAAUAGUAUAAAUAAUGAUGCAGAAGCCUUUCACUUCCAAUGGGCAAUAUUUUUUUUUUUUUUUGUUUGUUUGUUUUCUGAUUUGGAAAUGGGGUAGACAGAAUAUGUGGUUUAUGCCAGCAGGUGGAUCCAUCUGUCAUCCCAAUCACUGUGGGCUUUGCUUCUCUUUCAGAAUUGAGUAAUCCCUUCCAGGCCAGGGAAGACUUGGAGAAGUGGACAACUAGAAAGGCAGCUGCAAAACUGCAGAAAUCUUUAUUUUUGCAAAAAAACCCAACAGUUUUCAGCUUUCUUGAACUCUUGACUCUCCAGUAAUUCAAAUGAAGAGGUACUGGUCUAGUACAUCAGCUAACCUGAUCUUGUACUGAUUAUAAUCCACAGCUGACCUGCUGGGACACCUUGUCUGGUAUGGGGUCUGUGGCUGAGGGAGAUUUUGUGAACACAGCUCAGUUUCAGUGCAGCUCCUGAGCAGACUAUUAGACAGUGGCUCACUGCUGAGGGAUCCCAUCUUCUGAUGUCUCUGGACAGCACAGGAGGGUUUGUAUUCCUGUUUAUAUACAGGAACACAGGAGUUGUUUAUAUUCCUGUAGUUUCUAUCAAAUUCCAGUGACAUGCAUAAAAAUAAUUAGUGAAAUAAAUACUCAGGUGUCGAUGCUCUGGCAGGAGGUAGCCAAGGGAAUCGUCUGUGCAAAAGGAUGAUUUAAGUUGAGAGCAUCUACAGGGAUAAUUGAUGCCAAAUCUACCAUUACUAUGGAUUUGGGCAUAAUUAAUUUGGAUGAAAAUAAAAUACUUUCAUCAAAAAGAAUAAAUUGAAGCAUGGCAGGUAAUUCAAGAGUCAGAAGCCUUUAUCAAAGAUGUUUGAGGAAGGUGUUUUGAUCCUUCUAUGCUGAUUAUGUGACUUGAUGCACUUGCUCUGUUUGGUUUGCACUACAGUUGGGGACAGACUCUGUACUACAAGAAAAUUAUCCUGACUCUCUCAGCAUUAGGAAGCUUGUUUGUUGUGUUGUAUUUGGAGAGCUCUACAGUGAAAUGGCCUUUCUGACCUGUUACUAUGUUGGGGAAUUCAUGUGUCUCCUUUACAACUCACUUUAAGAUUGGCUUUUAUUUCUGGAUCUGCUACUAGUUUUUAAAGGCUUGUGUAGCCACUCUUUGUUCUAAGGCUUUGUAACUGGCUCUGAACUAACCUCAAUUUCUUGGCAUUGCCCUUUCAUUGGUACAUAUUUUGAACCUCUUUCCCUUUACCCAAUGGACUUGGCUUUUCUUUGACUCUGUUCCCUGCUUGCCCUGCAGGUUUUUUGUCUUCUAUAAAGGGAAGCCCACUGCAGCCAUGUGGUCCCCUAAUCCCCUGGAGAACAUGUGGCUCACCAAGGGUGUGUUACAGACUCAGCUACAGUGAAAUCACAGAUUUUAUUCUUCCUCAUGUGAAUUAUGGAGCUCUCCAGUUUGUAUUUCCUGCAUCAGCCACAGUGCUGGUUACUACUGGGUCCCCCACCAAUGUUUUGGUUGUCUGGCUGGAGAGGGAUAAAAUGACUGUGGCUAAAGUGUAGGAGAGUUGACAAUGGACUGAUGUGGUGAGGAGGGGGCAGCCUUCCCAGCUCACUGCAGAAAUGGCUGAGGUGAAUUGAAGCCAGCAGCGUGGCAUCUUCAUCCUGAUGGCCACUGGUGCAAACUGAGCACUCCAGGGAAGCAAUGGGAAGGAGUUGCCCCUAUAGUGUGCAAGAUACUUGUUCACAGGGGAGUAAGAAACUAACAAUAUACUGGAAAACCGAGCGGGACAAAAAAGAAUUUGAGAAUUGGAAGGAAGAAGCAAUUGAAAACAAAUCUGUUCCAAGGUAAGUGUGAUCUUCACUCUUACCAUCUUCACUCUGCUUGAGGCUGUGUUUUCACCUCAGUUUACCAGCAUUCUCUAUGUUUUUCUGCAGUGAGUUGCUGACCUUUCACUUGAUAGCACACACACCGAGCAAAUGGCCCAAUGCCUUCUGCUGAGCUGUGCCAGCCUCUCCUGGUCCAGGGCCUGCCCCUGUGCUGGGUUCAGGGGCCAGGCUGACUCCCUGCCAGCUGGCUGACUAGGGAGGCUCAAGAGCCCUGUUCUAGGGCACGUCCAGCACUGCAGCAAGAUGGGAAUGAGAUUCACUGGGUGGGUGGUCUUCACUUUCACCAUCAGCCCAUAAAUAUGUCAGGUGAGUAACAGUGUGUUACAAAAAUGUGUCCUUGAAUACACUGGCAGGAUGACUUUCUGCUAGAGUCCUCCAGAACAGGCUGAAAACACCACUGGCACUGCGGGAAAUAAUAAAUGGGGAUGGAAAGUGGCCAAAGGAGUGAGAGUACCAUCCAACUGGACAGCCUCAGCUCUCCAAACAAUCCAGCUCUGUGCAGGAAUGGAAGCAAGCAGUGUCCACCCCUUCUGCUGAAGCUUCUUCUCAUUAGAAGGUCACCAAUUAUUUCUGAGUGAUCAGCAGAAUUUCUUCCAGGCUGCAUAAAUUUAAUGUGGCCUUUUGUUCUGCUGUGUGGCUACUUCUUCCAAGGGGCAUCUCUUUAUAGCUGGAGCAGAUCAUGGAGGUACCACUGCUCCAAGGAAAGGGGAGGAGGAGGAGGAUGACUUACACAGAUAGUCUGCCUGGGAUUUAGAUAGUGAGAGGCCAAAAGAAAUUGUUUAAAGUCUGGCCUAGUAAAUGAAUUUAAUCUAUAUAAACUCUUGAUUAGAAGCUGGUUCCUCAGACACUAAGUGUCAGAGUGAUUGCCUGGUACCACGUUCUAUUUAUGCUGAUAGAGGAGCUGGCCCAUAUAUAUUUCCUUUUAAAUUUAUAUUUUGCUGUUUUCUAUUUCUGGGAAAUAAUUAAGGAGAACUAAGGCCACUUAGGGAACGCGUCUGUGUGAGGCUGGAGGAAAAUCUAGCUGGACAAAUCUGCUAGUUCAAAUUUGUAGCUGUACUGAAUUUGAAUUAGGCCUUUCAAAUAUUUUGGUUUAAGCAAGCUGAAAAGGUAGGCUGGAGGAGCAGGACGGGGGGGAAACUGGCUUUUCCCUGUCUGCUGACAUCCCCUUUUGUACUGUGCACAUGGUCAGGCACUGGGUGACAGACCUGGAUUUACUGAGAAAUCGUCAAUCCCGAGAGAAAAGGAAAUCUGGGGUAAACACUGUCUUCACUCACAUGUGGGUCAAGGAUUUUCAGAUCAGUAUUAAAAGAAGACCAGUGGUGCCUGUGGGGAGAAGAGACAACACUUGAGUGUGAAUUUGCUUCCCAAGGCCUGGAAGGCAUUUUUCCUCUUGCUGAGAAAGAACUUUGAGGAGGGCUGUGCACAGUGCUGCUGCCUGGUCCCUCUGCUGCAGCAGGGCCCAGGGUCCCACAAAGCCACCACCUCACAGGGGUACCAGGAGGUGAAGAUUUCAAAUGAAAAGAUUCUCUGAAGUGCAAACAAUGUGCUUUAUAAAACAAAGUAUAAAUUAGCUAAGGAGAAGAAAAUAGCAUCUGUUGAAAACAGAUAAGUGAGGAGUGUGCCUGUGGAUAUCUGGGUAGAUUUACCAAGGAGUCAAUUAGAGUCAAUUAUCACCCUCAAACUCCUCACCCUGGGUUUUGUAUUCUUGCAGUGUGUCCAAUUCAGCGUGUGCUGUUUCAUAGGUUCACAAUUUUCUCUCUGUGUCUGAAAUGAUCUAGCUGGAGACACCAGGAAAGUGCCAAGCUUUAAGUAUAUGACAAUUGUAAUUCUUUUGACUGAAACCUGAUUUGAUUCAGUUGAAAAUGACUUCAGUGUAUUGGAUUUACGGUUCAUUUACCAAGUGCUGUAGAUGUCAAUACAUUAGUGUAAACCUGAUGCAGGUAGUAAUUUGGUUUCUAAUGAGGUUCCCCAGCAGUAUCCAGCUAUGAAAAAUGGGGCAUUCUUCAUUGAAGCACAAAGUGCACCUGCCUGAUGGCAGAUGUUGUCUGAGGCCCUGCUACUUUCACUUUCUGGGAAGAGUGUGGUGUUAUAUCUUGCUGUGGGCUUUAAAAGUGCCUUAAACUGAUAAAAUG